rnacentral:rRNA from 1 species
GGAACGCGCCAAGGAACUCAAAUUGAAUCGCACGUCUCCUCCCUCGUUCGCGGGCGGUGGCGGCAUCAUUCCAUAACAUAAACGACUCUCGGCAACGGAUAUCUCGGCUCUCGCAUCGAUGAAGAACGUAGCGAAAUGCGAUACUUGGUGUGAA